UUUUUUUGGAGCAUAUUUCAUAGAAUUUAAACACUUAGAAAAGUCAAGUGAUUUGUGUGCUAUUUUGAUUUGCUUCCUGUGCUUACUUUCAUUUGUUUAUUAUUUAUUUUAGUUUCAACGAACCAAACUUUUAAAUGGACCGGGAGAUGUUGAAACGGGUACAAGCAUAACAGUACCUCAGAAAAAGUGGUUGCAUUUUAUUUCACCCAUUUUUGUUCAAGCUCUUACAUUAACAUUCUUAGCAGAAUGGGGUGAUCGCUCUCAACUAACUACAAUUGUAUUGGCAGCUAGAGAGGACCCCUAUGGUGUAGCCGUGGGUGGAACUGUGGGGCACUGCCUGUGCACGGGAUUGGCAGUAAUUGGAGGAAGAAUGAUAGCACAGAAAAUCUCUGUCAGAACUGGUAAGUCUUGAAAAUUACAAAUCAGAUAACAUUUUAGAAUCACUGAGAGAUUAAAAGGUGUUAGCUUUGAUUAUUUAAAUUUCUGCUGCUGAAGUAUACUUGGUUUUUGUAAUUACCUACCAUCUCUUAUAGAGGUAUUAAUCCUGGUAUUGCAAAUACGGACUUUUUU
rnacentral:sRNA from 1 species